rnacentral:rRNA from 1 species
GACGAACGCUGGCGGCGUGCUUAACACAUGCAAGUCGAGCGAUGAAGCACCUUCGGGUGUGAAUUAGCGGCGAACGGGUGAGGAACACGUGAGAAAUCUGCCUUCAACACUGGGAUAACUCCGGGAAACCGGGGCUAAUACCGGAUAUGAAACCUGCGGGCAUCCGCGGGUUUGGAAAGUUUUUCGGUUGAAGAUGAUCUCGCGGCCUAUCAGCUUGUUGGUGAGGUAAUGGCUCACCAAGGCGACGACGGGUAGCCGGCCUGAGAGGGCGACCGGCCACACUGGGACUGAGACACGGCCCAGACUCCUACGGGAGGCAGCAGUGGGGAAUAUUGGGCAAUGGAGGAAACUCUGACCCAGCGACGCCGCGUNCGGGAUGAAGGCCUUCGGGUUGUAAACCGCUUUCAGCAGGGAGAAGCGAAAGUGACGGUACCUGCAGAAGAAGCACCGGCUAACUAUGUG